AAGUGUGAUCCAUCUGUGGCAGAGUCAGUUUGCCGGUAUAGUCAGAGUAUGUGUUGUGAGUAGAUGCCUUCCAGCUGACCUAGCGGUUCUAGAUUUGACUGUUUGACGUCAUUCUAGGGUUGGAUUGGUUCUUCUACCAGUGGUACUACCUAGUCUGCAGAGACAAGGUAGUCAGGUUCAGAGGUCAGGAUGGAUCAGAGGUAGUCCUUAGAGGGGACAGAAUAGGGAUACCUAGAGGUUCAAUAUCAACCCUAUAGGCUCGUAGGUUGUUCAGGAAAAGUUGUCAGG
rnacentral:lncRNA from 1 species